rnacentral:rRNA from 1 species
AACGAACGCUGGCGGCAUGCCUAACACAUGCAAGUCGAACGAUUGCCUUCGGGUGAUAGUGGCGCACGGGUGCGUAACGCGUGGGAAUCUGCCCUUAGGUUCGGAAUAACAGCUGGAAACGGCUGCUAAUACCGGAUGAUAUUGCGUGAUCAAAGAUUUAUCGCCUGAGGAUGAGCCCGCGUUGGAUUAGGUAGCUGGUGGGGUAAAGGCCUACCAAGCCGACGAUCCAUAGCUGGUCUGAGAGGAUGAUCAGCCACACUGGGACUGAGACACGGCCCAGACUCCUACGGGAGGCAGCAGUGGGGAAUAUUGGACAAUGGGCGCAAGCCUAAUCCAGCAAUGCCGCGUGAGUGAUGAAGGCCCUAGGGUUGUAAAGCUCUUUUACCCGGGAAGAUAAUGACUGUACCGGGAGAAUAAGCCCCGGCUAACUCCGUG